ensembl:lncRNA
AUGGCUUCUAAGGAACCCCAUGCAUGUAUGCUAGACUGUGACAUGUAUGGGAAAAGAUACAGGAAUCCAAAUAUUCAGGACCCAGGCUGGUCUCAGAAGAAAGACAAAAUUGGUCCUGACUGCCAGGUCUACUGUCCAGCUUAUACAAUCAUAUACAGAACUUGGAAGGAUGAUUUUAAACUUGGUAUUCAAUGAGAUAUCUUUAACUUGAAGAAGCAUAAAGAGGAUUUUCACAUUACAAAUGGAUAAAGAAAGCCAUGGCCCUGGAUCUGUAAGGUUUGACAGAGUGUAAUAAUGGUAUCUUUUGGAAGUUUCUCAUUCAUAGAACUGUAUGUGUAUGUGUCUUGAGUUGCUUAUCAACUUAGACAAAGAAUAUUCAGAGGUUGUUUUGCCAGUUCCUUCCUCUGAAAUAUAACCUAUUACCAUAUGUCAAAGUUCACCUGAUAGUACAUAAAGGACAGUUCUGCCUUUCCCUAAACAAGUUGUGAUGCCUGAUUUCCUUUGCAAUUCCAAAUAGUUGUGUUGGUGUAAUAUAUUGCACCACUGAGACUUUCCACAGAAUCGUGGCCUGGGAUUGUGCUCAUCUCCUUCAAAAUUGAAGGAGAGAAGUGCAUAUAAUAUAUCUGUGGAUACAAGAAUGGUUCAUAUAUAACUGGAAUGUCAGUCUUAUGGAUUUAUUUCAAUGUGCAUGUCAUCUUUUAUAUGCUGAAGAGAUUUCUGGAUUUUACUACAAUCACUUUUAGGCAUAACUUUUCAACUUAGUCUGCACAUACGUUUUCCUGCCAGAUAGUCCCAAAUACCCAGAAACCUCUGCAUCUGGUCAAACAAGGACAAACAAACACUCUUCCUUUUUAAUUAUUUACUUGUAUGAAUGGGGCGGGGGUGCUUCUUACAUUUUCCAGAGCACCACCUGAUCUGUGGAGCUCAGUAACUGUGUUUACUGUUUCAGAUUCCAGAGUCUCUCUUGUCUGUAAGAUGUAUUUCCUCAUGUGCCAUUUUGUCUCUUGGCAGGCAGGUCUUCUUAGGUGGGUCUGGUGUAUGUCAAAAGGAGAAUAAAAAUUUUCAUCGCAAAGGAGAGAAAAUCUUAGAAUUAAAAUUCUUGUUAGAUAGCAUCCUCAUUGACACACAAAAACCUUUCUUAUAUGUAAACCAAUUGCAGGCGUGAAACACACUGGAUGCAUGGAGCACUGUGACCUAUUGUUGUCUCACCUACAGUAUAUCUACUAGCUGAAUUCAGCUAUUCUCCACAGGCCUGCAAGGCAAUGCUCCAAGGGUGAUACAGUUGACCCCUAUGGACUGUUGCAUAUCAGAUGUCUCCUUACCAUUUGUCCUGUCUGUGCAGUCUGUUAGCAGAGAGAAAAUUUGGAUUGCGCACCUGAUGGAGUAUUCUGGAAGUGGCAUGGUGGUCUGUAGGCAGCCUGCAGUGAAACUAUACAUUUGAGAUUUGUUACUGCAUUUCUAACAUUUAUUUAUUUUUGUUAAACACAGCCGGAGUGGCCCACUCCAGUCUCUUUCCCACCAUUUUCUCUCUAUAGAAGCCAGGCUCUGAUAUCUUUCCAAACAACUCUUCAGCUGCACUAUUUCUGUUUUAUUGAUGCUGUACAAAAACAUACAACUUUAUGGCUUAUUUUUUUUGCUUGCCUAUCAAGUGUUUGAUGUUCAUGGUGCCCACGCCGUUAGAUUCCAACAAAGGCUCCAUUAAUGUUUUUCCCUAGCAGUGAUUAAGAAGGAAGGUGAUAUCAAAAUGUUAAGAGUUGAAUUUGAAAAACAGAUUUCCACUUCCCUAACAUUUGUUUAAAUCAAAUAAAGCCCUAUAGAUAUUUUUCUUUCUUUCCUACCAUUUGAGUGAUUUGUUUCCUCUCUUAUUUCCAGUGAAUUGUUGGUAUCCAUCAAAAAUGCUUGAACAACAGUCUUGGGAAAUUCAUACAACACACUCACACACAGUAGCUGAGAAGGCUGAAGAAUUGUGUCCCGCCCCCCCCCCCCCAAACCCGGAAUGAAUACAUUAUGAGUUCAAAGAAGUCACUACUUUAUUAAAAUGAGAUACAGAGAUGGAAAUCCACCUAAGCCUAUGUAUAUUUUUGGUCACUGAAGAGGUUUGCAUUCCCUUCCCCCCUCCUCAAUCCAUAUCCUCCACCCACAGGACUCAUGGUUGUACUGUGAAAGCCCCCACCGCACAGCCAUUUCAUGGUUGGUGGUGUGUGUGGAAGAAAAAGCAUUAGUUUCCAUAGUGAGAGAUAGACUACAGACAUCAUACACUGGGACCUCUGGAGAACUCUCACUGGAUCUUGGCACAAGAUAUUCUCAGUUUUCUUAACACUUGCCCAAGGUCAAUUAACAGCCUAGUGAUACAGGGUGCUUCAAAAUUAUCAACCCAGUUUCAAAGCAGCAUAUUUCACAAUGACAACAUAUUACAAUUACACAAAAAGUUACAAAUGGUUUAAUGAGAUAUCAGGUUAUCAAGUUUUACUAAUUUAUCUUCUUACCAUCUUUUUGGGAGCCCUGGUGGCAAAGUGUGUUAAAGCGCUGAGCUGCUGAACUUGCAGACCGAAAGGUCCCAGGUUCAAAUCCCGGGAGCGGCUUGAGCACCCACUGUUAGCUUCAGCUUCUGCCAACCUAGCAGUUCGAAAACAUGCCAAUGUGAGUAGAUCUAUAGGUCUACAGGUCAACUAUAGACCUCCGAUGGGAAGGUAACGGUGCUCCAUGCAGUCAUGCCGGCCACAUGACCUUGGAGGUGUCUACGGACAACGCUGGCUCUUCGGCCUAGAAAUGGAGAUGAGCACCAAACCCCAGAGUCAGACAUGACUGGACUUAACGUCAGGGGAAACCUUUACCUUUACCUACCACCUUUUUAAAGAUAUUCUGUGAUUUUGUUCCAAUCCGUCUCUUUCAUUGGGUUCCCCCUUUUUUGGGGGGAGAUUAUAUAGGUGAGUCUGUCCAUAUUUCUUGUUUCUAAAAAUUUUAUUAGCCAUUCUUCCUCUUUGGUUAUUUCCUUCUUUUUCCAUAGCCUUGCAUAACAUAUUCUUGGUGCUGUCAUUAAUAAAAAGAGAAGUUUAUCCUUAUUUUUAUCUAGGUUUUGG